UACAGAGGGUGCGAGCGUUGUUCGGAAUUAUUGGGCGUAAAGGGCGCGUAGGCGGUGCGGUAAGUCACCUGUGAAACCUCUGGGCUUAACUCAGAGCCUGCAGGCGAAACUACCGUGCUGGAGUGUGGGAGAGGUGCGUGGGAUUCCCGGUGUAGCGGUGAAAUGCGUAGAUAUCGGGAGGAACACCUGUGGCGAAAGCGGCGCACUGGACCACAACUGACGCUGAGGCGCGAAAGCGUGGGUAGCAAACAGG
rnacentral:rRNA from 1 species